UACUGUUAGCUCUUUUAGAAUUUGUCUAGCAGAGCUGGGUGUGAUGGUGCACACCUAUAGUCCCAG
rnacentral:snRNA from 1 species